rnacentral:rRNA from 1 species
UAUUAUUUUAAUUGUAAAUGUUAUUUACUUGAGUAGUAGUAGUUAAGUUCUUGAAACUCAAAGAAUUUGGCGGUGUUUCAGUCUUUUCAGAGGAAUCUGUCCUGUAAUCGAUAUUACACGUUAAAAGUCACUUAAUUUUGUAAAAGUCAACUUGUAUACCGCCGUCGUAAGAGUAUCUUUUUAGAGGUAAUAUUCUAAAUAUUAAUAAAUAAUAUGUCAGGUCAAGGUGCAGUUUAUAAUUAAGAUAGAGAUGGAUUACAAUGAAAUUAUUUAGAUGGAUCUUAUAAUGUGAAUUGUAAAUGAAGGUGGAUUUGAAGGUAAUAUUAUUAUAUUAAGGUAAUAUGAUUGAAGCGCUGGGACAUGCACACAUCGCCCGUCGCUCUCAUUAUUAAGGUGAG